CUGACAUGUGUGCGAGUCAACGGGCGAGUAAACCCGUAAGGCGCAAGGAAGCUGAUUGGCGGGAUCCCCUCACGGGGUGCACCGCCGACCGACCUUGAUCUUCUGAGAAGGGUUCGAGUGCGAGCAUACCUGUCGGGACCGAAGAUGGUGAACUAUGCCUGAGCGGGCGAAGCCAGAGGAAACUCUGGUGGGGCGCAGCUAUGACGUGCAAAUUCGGUUCGUCUGACUGGCGUAUAGCGGCCAAGUCAGACGAACGAUUUGCACGUCAG
rnacentral:ncRNA from 1 species